GGAAGGACGUCAUUAUGAACAAGGGACGGGGCUUGGUGCAUCCUCCUGUUGUGUUUUAGCAGUUAAGCCUUUUUCAGCAUGCUAGUGGCCGUGGUCUUGCGUGAUUAGCUACCAUGCAUUUUGCUACAUGGUAAAUCUCUCUCGCAGGUGUAACUGCACAUCCAGGGGUUUCCAGUAACUUGGUUGGAGACGACUGUACAUCAGAGAUGUGACUGCACUGCUGCUUUGUUUGUUGGGUGACUGUUUUAACUUUGUCUGUCUUGGUCUUAUUUUGGUUAACUUGGUUUGUAUGGGUUUUCUUUUAUUCAUCCAUGAGCAGCCAUUCAUUAACUUGAGUGUGCGUUAGCAGGGAGACAAGUAAAAUAUUUGGCCUUGGUCGGCCAUUUUGUUCCUCCCAUUGGUGCAGAUGACUUAAUUUUUAUUUCGUUUUUUUUCUUUGUACAAGUAGUUGUCGAAUCUGUGUAUAUGGACUCUUUUUUUGGAGUAGAUUGUUCUGUUGUGGUAUGAAAGUGAGUUUUGUAUUUUUGAAUGUGUUUUGAAGUUUGUACCGAUUAACCAUGUUGUCAUUUAGGAGUAGAAACUUAAAGCGGGGGUUGUAGUCUUUUAGCGUGUCCACAUGGAGUGCGGUGCUUAACCAAUUGUAUUGCUUUCACAACUGUGUGGUGUGGGGAUGGUGUGAGGUGAAAAUC